rnacentral:rRNA from 1 species
UAAUACAUGCAAGUCGAGCGAACAGACGAGGAGCUUGCUCCUCUGACGUUAGCGGCGGACGGGUGAGUAACACGUGGAUAACCUACCUAUAAGACUGGGAUAACUUCGGGAAACCGGAGCUAAUACCGGAUAAUAUAUUGAACCGCAUGGUUCAAUAGUGAAAGACGGUUUUGCUGUCACUUAUAGAUGGAUCCGCGCCGCAUUAGCUAGUUGGUAAGGUAACGGCUUACCAAGGCAACGAUGCGUAGCCGACCUGAGAGGGUGAUCGGCCACACUGGAACUGAGACACGGUCCAGACUCCUACGGGAGGCAGCAGUAGGGAAUCUUCCGCAAUGGGCGAAAGCCUGACGGAGCAACGCCGCGUGAGUGAUGAAGGUCUUCGGAUCGUAAAACUCUGUUAUUAGGGAAGAACAAAUGUGUAAGUAACUAUGCACGUCUUGACGGUACCUAAUCAGAAAGCCACGGCUAACUACGUGCCAGCAGCCGCGGUAAUACGUAGGUGGCAAGCGUUAUCCGGAAUUAUUGGGCGUAAAGCGCGCGUAGGCGGUUUUUUAAGUCUGAUGUGAAAGCCCACGGCUCAACCGUGGAGGGUCAUUGGAAACUGGAAAACUUGAGUGCAGAAGAGGAAAGUGGAAUUCCAUGUGUAGCGGUGAAAUGCGCAGAGAUAUGGAGGAACACCAGUGGCGAAGGCGACUUUCUGGUCUGUAACUGACGCUGAUGUGCGAAAGCGU